CCUUUCCUAUAUCAGAAGCCUUUGAUUCUGUCCUGCUUCUCAAUUCUUCAUGGAACUCCAACAUUUCAAAGACUUCUUCUUCUCUCCCCUCCUCCUUCCCAGGCGGAGUGCUGGCCAAGUCUGGGAGAGGGACUGCCCAUCAGAGGUUGGCUGCUAUCAGCAGGGGGCCGCAUGUCUCCAAUUCAGGUCAGCCUUGGCUACAGACGGGGACUUAAAAGCAAGCCACAACGCGUCCUGUGAUCCCAAUAAGAUGCAACAAAAUAAACCAGCACUUGGCAAGUGGAACACCUGGACACUCAACACCCCACCCACACAGCUAAAGGUGACUCUGCACUUUUUCAUGAAUUUCUCAUUUGAUAUCAAAUAAGCUGCACGGAUACAAUGGAGCAUGCUUAUAAAAAUUAGUUUGCAUCAAGACCAUUCUUGCACAGUUUCUCAAAACAACAACAACAACAACAACAAAAAAACCCAGAUGCAACUAAAGGUUUUUAAGUACAAUUUGACUUUUGCAUCUCUUUGUUAUAUUUCUUGGAUCCUGUGUCAUUUCCUUAGAAUCACCCUCUAAAUCUGUUCACUGUUCACCUGUCUGGCAUUGUGACAUAAAACAGAGGUUCUCUGAUUAAAAAACACUCCAAUGAGCAGCACAGAAGGAUUAAUAAUUAGCCAAUCGUUCUGUUCUGCUUUUAAAACCCUUGACGAACCAAUAUAUUGGCAUGGCUAGAGAUCAGUGUUGGCUUAAUAUGACAUUAAUAUAAGUGGGAAUGUUGGUCUCUCCUGAUUUAUUAGGAAAAAUUGAAUCCCCUUCAGUAAUUGAUUAGAGUGGAUGCAACAUGAAAACUGAGGAGUUGACAUAUUCAGUAUGUCUGAUAUCAAGCUAGGUAAUACGUAAUCAAAGCUAAGUCUCACAUGCAGGAGAAAACAGGGACCAGUGAUCAGCUUGAAAUCAAAUGACUUUAUUUAUUUAAGGGUAAACCUCCCCAGAUUGAGGCAGUUGAUUUUGUAAAAUAAAGACAAGGGUCUACAUGAGGGAGGCGCUCUGAAAACAUUAGUCAAACAUCCCCAAUGUGAGUAGGAAUCAAGCAUUUGUUUAUCUGCAUAAUUAUGGAUAAAUUAUGCAGAUAAACAACGUGGAACGAUUCUCUUGCUAUUGGCUAAACCUGCCACUUUAAGGAACCUGCAUGUGGUGUAGUUCCCUUGUUGUGGGAAGUUUGCAAAGAGAGUGCGUGUAAGCAGCGAUCGCCAGUUGAAAGUCCAUCUCUCAGCUACUGUAAUCAUACAGUGUCUGUUAUACAUAGGAGAUAAAUAACUGAAUUGUGUUCCCUGCUCUGUAAGAAUGCAGCAUUACAUCGGUCUCCCUGGUUUCCUCCCCACUCACCGCUGCAAAGUUGUUCCAAACAGUAGGUUACCAAUUAAUGAGCCAGGUGACAGGAAAGUAACACCAGCAUUUUUACGUUUCGAAGAAUCAUUAAAAAGUUAAAUUUUACCUCUGUGUGAAAGAACUAACAGCCAAGGCAAACUACUCAUAGUGAUCCAUGAAUUUCAUUUGAUGUUCUUUCCAGUGAGUCAAAAUGAGGCUAAAAUAGCUUAACUUGAAAAGAUAAACAUGUGUGUUAUGUGGCUCAUUAUUCAGCUAAAUCCAUAUGUUUAAAAAAAAGGGAGCGCAUAUUCAAAGUGUCUCCCUGAAAGGCUGAAAUCUGAUUUGACUGACAAAAUUCUGAAUGAGUGGAAUCCCUAGACGAUGUAAAUUUUCCAAUUUUUUCCACAUGCAGAUGUCUUCUGCUAAACUAGAUUGUGAGUUUUUCUCUGUGUGUUUGUUUGCGUCCCCGCCAGCCUGAUUAAGAGCAGACAUGCUUGAGCGCAUAUGUUUCUAUAUUUGCAUGUUUACGUCUUGGUGUGUGUGUGUGUGUGUGUGCAUGUGUGUGUGUGUGCAUGAACGGUUUAAAACCUGUGAUGGCAUCCCUAUGUGUUAUCCUGUGUAACACAGUCUUGGUCCUCAUUAUCAUUUCUCCCUGGGCCUGUUCUGGUGUUCAGAGCCCCACCAGAGGGGCCUUUGGCUCGGUGGGAGAGGUGUUGGAGGCGGCCUGGCCCCGCUGUGCUCCUUCCUUCCCCCUCCGCAGGGUGCCAGGCACAGCGUGUACCACUGGCAAGCCAAGCCUGACAAUGAGGCUGCCUGCACAGCCAACGCCAUGUUUGAACAGGGCAGGGGGUUGCCACGUCAUGCUGAACACACACUUGCAGGAAGGCCUGCUUGAACACACAAAUACACAAAUACACAUCUCCACAAGGCAGACUCCUGGUGGGUUCAACACAUGUUUGGAAGAUGCUACAGUGGUGAAGGCGAGUGUGUGGAGUGAGUUUGUGCAGGAGAUAAACAUCACAGACACUUUAAAAACUGUAGGUUCUAUUGAGAUUAAAUGGAAGAAUUUUGCUGACUUGUUUGGCUUUAUGGCAGAUUUAGAAUAAAAUAUGAGGCAAACAAAAUCCACAUUAUAUGCAAUAAAGGGUUAAAUUUAUAUUUUUUUGAAAGUUUGAAAUAAAAAGUGACUGCAGUUCAGUGUUUUACUAACUUCACUCUGUCAUCCUUGAUGCAGUAAUUCAGUCUCCUCCUCCCCCUGACUUCAUAGUUUCAGCAUAUUGCGUGUUCCACAUUAAGUUUUGAUUCAGUCAUAUGUUCAGCUCUCAGGUGUGCUUCUGAACCAUGAAAUAUUAAAUGUGUGAAUUCAAGGAGAUGUCACAUUCUGUGUUUCAUUCAUUAUGUACACCUACACUACUUUGUUGACUCUUUGAAUUCUAAUAGGUAUGGAUAGGAAGUAAUGCAAUCGUUAUGUUGGCAUUACAACUUGUGCUCAGCAUCUGUUUAGUUUGUAAACUUUUUCGCAGUUAUUUUUUCAGUUGUUGUCUAGACGAAAACGAAAAUCUGGUGAAUGUUAAAAUGUUAAAAGAGCAUUAGGAAGGCAUCCUAAAAAUGUAGCUGUGUGAAUAUUGGCUUGAAAUGUGUUAACAUGUGAGCGAGUGUGUAUCUAUGUGUGAAUGUGUUUACACGACCUCCUCCUUCUCUGCUCUUCUCUCUCUAAGUGUCACAUCUCUUCUCGAAGCCGUCCGUGGGAGUCAAUCCCACUCAGUCCCAAAUAAAGUAGGGCCACUGGUAGAUAUUAAACAGUGAUACAUGCACAGGCAAGGGCGUAACUGUUCUGAAACCAAGACAAAAUCCACGAUGCAAAUGUCUGUGGUCUCCAGUGUCGCACACCCACCAAUAUAAGCAUAUCCAGACACAUACAGAUCACUGUAGACGUACAUGUAUG